GGGGAGCAGUGUCGGAUCAUGGGCGUAAGAGCUCGUAGGCGGCUUGUCACGUCGGAUGUGAAAGCCCGGGGCUUAACCCCGGGUCUGCAUUCGAUACGGGCUAGCUAGAGUGUGGUAGGGGAGAUCGGAAUUCCUGGUGUAGCGGUGAAAUGCGCAGAUAUCAGGAGGAACACCGGUGGCGAAGGCGGAUCUCUGGGCCAUUACUGACGCUGAGGAGCGAAAGCGUGGGGAGCGAACAGGAUUAGAUACCCUGGUAGUCCACGCCGUAAACGUUGGGAACUAGGUGUUGGCGACAUUCCACGUCGUCGGUGCCGCAACUAACGCAUUAAGUUCCCCGCCUGGAGAGUACGGCCGCAAGGCUGAAAGUCAAAGGAAUUGACGGGGACCCUCCUAAGCAGCGGAGAAGCCAGCUUAAUUCGACCCGACGAGAAAACGCCUGCGAACGACUGGCAUAUCGCGCAAAACGGUGAGAAAAGCGUCGCUACAUGUUUACAGAGCAAUGUCAGAGCCAAUGAUAGGAUAUUCACUUAGCCGUCAAAUUAAAACCAACGUCCGUUGGCUGCAUGCGGGGGUUCCCGUCAAUUCCUUAUAGGUUAAAGCCAAUGCGGGGAAAAAUCCACAAUCGUGGUGAUUAAUUGCAUAAGCUGAUAAAACCGACAAAAGUUAUAGGUCGCCAUACCGGAAUUUCCCAGAUAUUAAUGAUGGUGAACCCCGCAUAUGUAGAUCGAAUAGAUCAAAAGGAUUUCGGACCUAACCACUCAGUAAAGCCAAGAAAAGAAGGCGUUGGACAAUGUUUUUAAACUGCGAUAUCGAGGCUUAUCAUGUAAAUUCAAGGAUUUUGUACCUCCGGUCCCAAAGUUAUAAAUUACUGAAUAUGAAGGGAACCCGGGAAGGAAAUUCAGGCGUUCUGUAAAUAAAGGAAAUGUGAAAAACUAAUUAGCGUGUUGAAAUUCCGAAAUAGACCGAAACGAUCCUUCUCAGGGUGAGGUAAAAAAAAGUUCNNGGUCCCCCCCGGCGUAAUACUAAGUAUUAGGUUACUCGCUGAACAGGGAUAGUGUAUGCGGAGAAGCCGCCAAAGAUUCGGUAAAUAUGUACUACCCGAAAUGUCGAAUACCCUCAAAUACAUGGUGAAAUAUUCCCGUUGAAACCUUCGCGUAAGAAAAAUCUGUACAAUAGUUUUAAUCGUAGUGCGAUUAAAUUGCAUAACUUUUAAUAUCGCCUUGCUAAAGAAUUUUAAUUCCCCAGGGAUGUGCGUUCUAAAAUAUAGUUGGACAAAUAUCGAGUAUACUCUGUAUGCUCAUUUUAACACCGGAGUUAC
rnacentral:rRNA from 1 species